rnacentral:lncRNA from 1 species
UACGCUCCUCGUGCAACUUGCUCCUCAUUAAUUCUUUUAUUUGUUUAAUUACAUUAACAGUCUCACUGACUAUGCCCGUGCUACUUGCUCAAUAAUUGAACACUAAAGAAUGACAAGGGAAAGUGAAAGUCUUCCUCUUGAACGACACAGUUGACUUUCUUCUCAUCUCAAUCUCAACACCUAACAAUAGCAGAAACUAGAGUUAGACUAAGAUGGAGAAAUUGCAAGAAAUUGCAGUGUCCUUGGCUGUUGAUUAUUUGCUUCCACCCUUAAAGAAAGCAGUGAAUUCAGUCAUGGAGGUUCCAAAAGAUGCUGCAGACAUGAAAGACAAACUUGAUGGGAUUCAAGCCAUGAUUCAUGAUGUGGACAAGAUGGCAGCAACUGAAGAAGGCAACUCACGUGAUGGUCUCAAAGCAAAGGUGAAGCUGCUGGUGGAAACAUCUUUUUGCAUGGAAGAUAUCGUUGAUGAAUACAUUAUCCAUGAGGAAAGGCAGCUUGGUGAUGUUCCUGGAUGUGCAUCUUUACCUUGUAAGGCUAUUGAUUUCGUCAAAACUAGGGCCUCUCGUCUUCAAUUUGCAUACAUGAACCAGGACGUGAAAUCAGAAUUUCCAGGGAUCAAGGAGAGGAACAAAAGUGAGGAUUGCUCCCAAAUUCAAUCUUCUAGAGGAAACCAAAACAUCACGUUUGACAACCUUCGAAUGGCUCCUCUGUUUCUUAAGGAGGCUGAGGUUGUGGGCUUUGACAGCCCUAGAGAUACAUUGGAAAGAUGGUUGAUAGAGGGGCGGGAAAAGCUCACUGUUGUCUCUGUGGUAGGAAUGGGAGGACUUGGAAAAACUACUCUUGCAAAGAAAGUUUUUGAUAAAGUCCAGACACACUUCACUCGCCAUGUCUGGAUCACAGUGUCUCAGUCAUACACCAUAGAAGGAUUGUUGCUUAAGUUUCUAGAAGCAAAAAAAAGAAAGGAUCCUUCUCAGAGUGUUUAUUCUACAAUGGAUAAAGCAUCGUUGAUAAGUGAGGUGAGAAAUCACUUGAGCCGCAAUAGGUAUGUUGUCGUGUUUGAUGACGUGUGGAAUGAAAAUUUUUGGGAGGAAAUGAAAUUUGCUUUAGUUGAUGUUGAAAAUGGAAGUAGGAUAAUAAUCACAACCAGGUACCGUGAGGUUGCAGAGUCUUGUAGGACAUCUUCUCUUGUUCAAGUGCAUGAGUUGCAACCUUUAAGUGAUGACAAAUCUUUCGAAUUGUUUUGUAAAACGGCAUUUGGAUCUGAAUUAGAUGGGCAUUGUCCAAACAAUCUUAAGGACAUAUCAACUGAAAUUGUUAGAAAGUGUGAAGGUAUACCACUAGCUAUUGUGGCCACUGGUGGCCUUUUAUCUCGCAAAAGUAGAGAUGCACGUGAAUGGCAAAGAUUUAGUGAGAAUCUAAGUUCAGAAUUAGGAAAGCAUCCCAAAUUAAUUCCCGUGACAAAGAUUUUGGGUUUAAGUUAUUAUGAUUUGCCUUACCAUCUCAAACCAUGCUUCUUGUAUUUCGGAAUAUAUCCGGAAGAUUAUGAAGUUGAGUGUGGGAGAUUGAUUCUACAAUGGGUAGCUGAGGGGUUUGUCAAAUCUGAUGAAGCGGCACAAACUUUAGAAGAAGUGGCAGAAAAAUAUUUGAAUGAGUUGAUCCAAAGAAGUUUGAUUCAAGUAUCUUCAUUUACAAAGUGUGGCAAAAUUAAAAGUUGUCGUGUUCAUGAUGUAGUACGUGAAAUGAUCCGCGAGAAGAAUCAAGAUUUAAGCUUUUGCCAUUCUGCUAGCGAGCGAGGGAACUUGUCCAAAAGUGGGAUGAUUCGUCACCUAACAAUAGCAUCUGGUUCCAACAACUUGACAGGAAGUGUUGAAAGCUCGAACAUUCGAUCACUUCAUGUUUUCGGUGAUCAAGAAUUGUCAGAAUCCUUGGUGAAGAGUAUGCCUACAAAGUACAGGUUAUUAAGGGUACUUCAAUUGGAAGGUGCUCCAAUGUUUGAUUAUGUUCGGCGCAUUGAAAGUUUGGGGGACUUAUCAUUUUUGAGGCACUUAAGCUUCAGAAGUUUAAACAUAGUCCAUCUUCCAAAAUUAAUUGGUGAGCUGCACAACCUAGAAACAUUGGAUCUAAGACAAACUUGUGUGCGUAAGAUGCCAAGAGAGAUCUACAAGCUUAAAAAGUUAAGACACCUUCUAAAUGAUGGAUAUGGCGGGUUUCAAAUGGAUAGUGGCAUUGGAGAUCUAACAUCCCUACAAACACUACGUGAAGUGGACAUAAGCCAUAAUACAGAAGAAGUAGUAAAAGGGUUGGAAAAACUUACACAAUUAAGGGUGUUGGGCUUGACAGAAGUUGAGCCAAGAUUCAAAAGUUU